AUAUUAGUCAAUGCUCGCAAGAGUGAACUAGCUAACUGAAAUUAUACUUUCUGGGGGACCGGAAAAUAAAUAAUAACGUAAUGGGCUGAACAUAAUUUGUAUUACUGUACUAUAUUAUAAGUAAGAUUGAAAAAAAAUGAUAUUACCAUUACUAUUAGUGCUGUCCAAAGCUGGUGCCAGAAGACUCGGUAAGGCCAGAAGCGCGUACGUUAUUCACAUUAAAUAGGCGUAAAGGGUGUGUAGGCGGCUUUUCAAAACUAAUCUUUUUUUUUAACUACUGGAAUAAGAGAAAGGUGACUAGAAGCUAGAAUCUAAUCGAGGUCAAACAGAAAAAUACUUAGUGUAGGGAUUAAAUCUUUAUAUAUUAAGUGGAUUACCUAUAGGUGUAAGCUUUUUUCCAUUAAAGAUUGACGCUGAGACACGAGGGCAGGAUUAGGAAAUAGGAUUGGAUACCCAAAUUACCACCUGCUGUCAACGAUGUACGGUUUAUUAGGCAGCUACGGCUGCCAUUGACGCUAACGCUAUAACCAUACCGCCUUGCGAGUACGGUUGCAAAACUGAAACCAAAAAAAUUAGUCGUCCUCGGAGCAAACGGAGUGAAGCAUGUUAUUUAAUU
rnacentral:rRNA from 1 species